rfam:Hordeum vulgare subsp. vulgare, WGS project CAJW01000000 data, contig: morex_contig_330206
UAUAUACUCCCUCUAUCCGGAAAUACUUGUUCUAAAAAAUCAUGUAUUUAAACUUAUUUUAGUUAUAGAUACAUUUAUUUUAUUCAUUUUUAGGACAAGUAUUUUGGGACGGAGGGAGUAUAUA